GACGAACGCUGGCGGCGUGCCUAACACAUGCAAGUCGAACGGAACUGCAAUGAACAAGACUUCGGUCAAGUGAGUUGUACGUUUAGUGGCGGACGGGUGAGUAACGCGUGAGCAAUCUGCCUUUUCAGAGGGGGGAUAACAUUCUGAAAAGAAUGCUAAUACCGCAUAAAGUGCACAGUUGGCAUCGACAGUGCACCAAAGGAGUAAUCCGCUGAAAGAUGAGCUCGCGUCCGAUUAGAUAGUUGGCGGGGUAACGGCCCACCAAGUCGACGAUCGGUAGCCGGACUGAGAGGUUGAACGGCCACAUUGGGACUGAGACACGGCCCAGACUCCUACGGGAGGCAGCAGUGGGGAAUAUUGGGCAAUGGACGCAAGUCUGACCCAGCAACGCCGCGUGAAGGAAGAAGGCUUUCGGGUUGUAAACUCUUUGUCAGGAAGAGCAGAAGACGGUACCUGACGAUAAGCACGGCUAACUACGUAGCCAGCAGCC
rnacentral:rRNA from 1 species